AUAUAAAAAAAUAUAUAUAUAUGAACACAUGGUUAGAAAAGUUAUAAUUUUAUUCCAACAAGAAGCAUUUAUAAGAGUCUAGUCAGCUCUUUGUCUGACAUUAUAAGAUGAAAAAACGACAAAAUCAAGAAAAAAAAGUUGGCUACUCGAUCGGUGGGACUUCGUCGGCUGGUUGCACCUCAUCGACUUUAAAAAUUUCUCUGCC
rnacentral:lncRNA from 1 species